AUGUUAAGAGUGGGACCGUGAAGAAACCUGGUAUGGCUAUUGAGACUUAUUUGUUUGCCAUGUUUGAUGAAAAUCAGAAGAAUGGUGCAUCAACUGAACAACAUUUUGGUCUCUUUAAUCCUGAUAAAUCGCCUAAAUAUCAAAUAAAUUUCAAUUAGAUAAAUUAAUGGAUGAUUUUAUGUUUGCCAUGUUUGAUGAAAAUCAGAAGAAUGGUGCAUCAACUGAACAACAUUUUGGUCUCUUUAAUCCUGAUAAAUCGCCUAAAUAUCAAAUAAAUUUCAAUUAGAUAAAUUAAUGGAUGAUUUUUACAAAAAAUAUAUAUGUAGCUAAGUAUUGCAUUCUAUGAAUAAUUGUGCCAGAGUGCACAUGACGUUGUUGUUGUUAGCAUGUUACUAUUUAUAUAAUGAAAGGUGAUAUACUUGUUUAA
rnacentral:lncRNA from 1 species